GACUGUGGCUCAAUGGCAGUGUGCUUGUCUCCCAUGCAUGAGGUCCUGGGUUCUAUCCUCAGCACGACA
rnacentral:tRNA from 1 species